rnacentral:rRNA from 1 species
UGGGGAAUCUUCCGCAAUGGGCGAAAGCCUGACGGAGCAAUGCCGCGUGAGUGAAGAAGGCCUUCGGGUUGUAAAACUCUGUCCUAUCGAAGAGAGGUGGGUAUGUGAAUAAUGUACCUAUAGGACGGUAGAUAAGGAGGAAGCCCCGGCUAACUACGUGCCAGCAGCCGCGGUAAUACGUAGGGGGGCGAGCGUUGUCCGGAAUCACUGGGCGUAAAGGGCGCGUAGGCGGUUUAAUAAGUCAGUGGUGAAAACUGAGGGCUCAACCCUCAGCCUGCCACUGAUACUGUUAGGCUUGAGUAUGGAAGAGGAGAAUGGAAUUCCUAGUGUAGCGGUGAAAUGCGUAGAUAUUAGGAGGAACACCAGUGGCGAAGGCGAUUCUCUGGGCCAAGACUGACGCUGAGGCGCGAAAGCGUGGGGAGCAAACAGGGAUUAGAUACCC